UUUAAUUUCUUCUCCAAGAUGGCCAUGGUAGACAUCUACAACCCACCAUCUACAAAACGAACCUAGCUACCUACAAGGAAGGGUAUCGAUCAAUCAACUGCCAAGCAAACUAGUGGAUAUUAGUCACUAAUUGUUUCUUAAAGGAAGAAACUCAAAAAACUGGUUGGAGGUGAUUUCAGUGUCCAUAGAAGCACUAGCACAGAGCAUAGAUGAUGAUUUCCUCUCAGCAAGAGAAAUUCCAUCUUGGUCAUCCCUCUUGUGUGGAAAUAGGUCAAGGGUUCGAGAAUCUGCAUUUUCAUCACCACCAUAGUAGUUUAAACUUUCUCUGUUGAUGAGUGAAGAUGAUAAAUUAUUAUAGUUUUGAGGGGAUAAAAGUUGUGUGUUAUGUGUUGUUGUUCUGUGUGAAGUUGUAGUAGGAGCUGCUAUAGUAAUAGGAAGGAAACAAGGCAUUUCCAUUUCUUGCAACUUAGCUUGUUUUUCUGAUAUGUUUCUCCUUAAAACUUGUAUGCUGCCUCUCUCCUCAAACUGAGUCCACCCAUUAGAUCCCUUUUCUGCUAUAUCCAGUGCAGAUUCCUGAUAAAAAAUACGGAUAGUAAAAAGUUGGCAGUAAAAAAGAAAUUUAAAAUUAAAACAUGAAAAAAAAAAAAGAGAUAGGAUAGAGAGAGAAAAAUGGGGGAGGGGAGAAUUCAGAAUUCAGAAAUCACAUUCAAUUCAGAAGUCCAAGAAAAGUGUGAACUGAUAUAGCACAAAACAGUCCCAACAGAAAGUUAAAAAAAAAAACAGC